UCAUCAGAGUUUGUCGGGUCAGAGUUUAAAUAUCAGAGUUUAUCAAAUCAGAGUAUAAUCAUCAGAGUUUAGAUCAGAGAAUAACAGAUGCAGUUGUAGAUCAGAUUUAUAACAACAAAUACUAACAGAUAUAGUAUCAUGCAAUGUAUCAGAGUUUAGAGAGGACCAGAAAUCAUCCCUAAUUCGUUUACAAGCCUUGUAAAUGUUGCUUCAGCC
rnacentral:lncRNA from 1 species